rnacentral:rRNA from 1 species
ACGGAAGGCAGCAGUGGGGAAUAUUGCACAAUGGGCGCAAGCCUGAUGCAGCGAUGCCGCGUGAGGGAAGAAGGUUUUCGGAUUGUAAACCUCUGUCAGCAGGGACGAAAAUGACGGUACCUGUGAAGGAAGCUCCGGCUAACUACGUGCCAGCAGCCGCGGUAAUACGUAGGGAGCGAGCGUUAUCCGGAUUUAUUGGGCGUAAAGCGCGCGCAGGCGGGUGUUUAAGCGGAUCUUCUAACCCGAGGGCUCAACCCCCGGUCGGGAUCCGAACUGGACAUCUUGAGUGCGGUAGGGGCAGGCGGAAUUCCAUGUGUAGCGGUGAAAUGCGCAGAUAUAUGGAAGAACACCGAUGGCGAAGGCAGCCUGCUGGGCCGACACUGACGCUCAGGUGCGAAAGCUAGGGGAGCAAACAGGAUUAGAUACCCUGGUA